rnacentral:lncRNA from 1 species
GGGUAGAGUACCGGGUGGUAGCCAGCUAGCAACAGUUUCAGGGUAGAGUACCGGGUGGUAGCCAGCUAGUACAGGUUCAGGGUAGAGUACCGGGUGGUAGGCAGCUAGUAACAGGUUCAGGGUAGAGUACUGGGUGGUAGCAAGCUAGUAACAGGUUCAGGGUAGAGUACUGGGUGGUAGCAAGCUAGUAACAGGUUCAGGGUAGAGUACUGGGUGGUAGCCGGCUAGUAACAGGUUCAGGGUAGAGUACUGGGUGGUAGCCAGCUAGUAACAGGUUCAGGGUAGAGUACCGGGUGGUAGCCAGCUAGUAACAGGUUCAGGGUAGAGUACCGGGUAGUAGCCAGCUGGUAACAGGUUCAGGGUUGAGUACCGGGUGGUAGCCGGCUAGUAACAGGUUCAGGGUAGAGUACCGGGUGGUAGCCAGCUAGUUACAGGUUCAGGGUAGAGUACUGGGUGGUACCCGGCUAGCAACAG